rnacentral:lncRNA from 1 species
GAACAUAGCAAGUUGGAAAAACACAAGAAGGCCUCCAAAGCUCUCAAGAAAAGUUAGAAGAAAGCCACACCUCAUUGGCCCAAGAUUCAAGUUCAAAGGCUUCAAUUUAGACGAGCAAGUUUUAAGAAAAAAAAUUCAAAGGAAAGGCACUCGAGUCGACUCCUACAGUUCUGAGUCGACUCCAAGGAGCAACAGACAGCCGGACAGAAAGAUUCAUCUCAGAACCUGUCAACGAGUCGACUCCUGAAGAGCGCGAGUCGACUCCCGAUGCUUGCCGAGUCGACUCCUAAGGAAGCAAGAGUCGACUCCCAGAGAAAUACAAGGCAGAAAAGUCAGAGAGCAGUUUUCGGGUCUGAGAUUCGAGUCGACUCCAGUGGAACGCGAGUCGACUCCGAUGGUUGGCAAGUCGACUCCAAAGAAAGUGAGAGUCGACUCUCAGAGGAACACAAGGAAAAAGUCAGAGA